rnacentral:lncRNA from 1 species
AAAAAUGAUAGAAAUAUGACUCACUGACAUUGUCUCUUUGGUUGUUUAUAGCGUGCCGAGAGCUGAUGAGUAAACGGAAUGUAUCAUCGCUCAACGUCACAAAUAAUCAAUCAAUGGUGUGAUGGUCUGCCGCCUCAGUGGAAGGAGAUGGAGCCAAGACGUGGAUGAGCAUGCAGGAGGUUUCCACACAAAAGCCCUUCAGUGCCCAGGCAGACCUCAAAGAGCCAUCAUCUCUCCAUCUCCAUCUCUUCAAAGACUCCUUCAUCACUCUGAAUCUCCUCUGUUCCUCCUCGGCCCCUCGUUUAGGAGCGGGACCCCACCGGCCCUCACCUCCCCCAUUGACCAGCACACUUAUCCCAGUGUCUCCUGAGAGCUCAGAGCUCAUAAGUAAGACCUUGACAGCUGAUAAUGACUUUGGGGAAGGAGAUCACUGCUGCGUUUUUGAUGGUGCACAUGCAGGGUCCAAAAUCAACACUUGCCAAGUACUGGAUGAGCGUACAAAUUGACUUUUGGCAAGUACAAAGGGUAUUUUCCACUUAUUUUUAUGGAACGCAACAUCACAGUGGUUAAAACUGCAAUGUAUGA